GACGAACGCUGGCGGCGUGCUUAACACAUGCAAGUCGAACGAUGAAGCUGGAGCUUGCUCCAGUGGAUUAGUGGCGAACGGGUGAGUAACACGUGAGCAAUCUGCCCUUGACUCUGGGAUAACUGCGGGAAACUGUAGCUAAUACCGGAUACGACACCUUGGGGCAUCCCGGGGUGUGGAAAGAAUUUCGGUCAAGGAUGAGCUCGCGGCCUAUCAGCUUGUUGGUGAGGUAAAGGCUCACCAAGGCGACGACGGGUAGCCGGCCUGAGAGGGGGACCGUCCACACUGGAACUGAGACACGGUCCAGACUCCUACGGGAGGCAGCAGUGGGGAAUAUUGCACAAUGGGCGAAAGCCUGAUGCAGCAACGCCGCGUGAGGGAUGACGGCCUUCGGGUUGUAAACCUCUUUUAGCAGGGAAGAAGCGAAAGUGACGGUACCUGCAGAAAAAGCACCGGCUAACUACGUGCCAGCCGCCGCCGUAA
rnacentral:rRNA from 1 species